rnacentral:rRNA from 1 species
GUAAUACUCCAUAGUUCGUUAUUACUGGAAUGUUUUUCGAACGAAAGAUCCGUCGCUUCAGGAUGAGUCUGCGGCCGAUUAGGUAGUUGUUGGGGUAAUUGCCCAACAAGCCUGUAAUCGGUACGGGUUGUGGGAGCAAGAGCCCGGAGAUGGAUUCUGAGACACGAAUCCAGGCCCUACGGGGCGCAGCAGGCGCGAAAACUUUACCAUGCGGGCAACCGUGAUAAGGAAACCCCGAGUGCCAGCACAGGCUGGCUGUCCGCCAGUUUAAACAACUGGCGAAGAAAGGGCCGGGCAAGACCGGUGCCAGCCGCCGCGGUAAUACCGGCGGCUCGAGUGGUGGCCGCUAUUACUGGGCUUAAAGGGUCCGUAGCUUGAUAAAUAGGGUCCCUUGAGAAAUCCGCCGGCUUAACUGGCGGGCGUUCAGGGGAAACUUGUUUUCUAGGGACCGGGAGAGGUGAGGGGUACUGCCGGGGUAGGAGUGAAAUCCUGUAAUCCCGGUGGGACCACCUAUGGCGAAGGCAUCUCACCAGAACGGGUCCGACAGUGAGGGACGAAAGCUGGGGGAGCAAACCGGAUUAGAUACCCGGGUAGUCCCAGCUGUAACUAUGUGCGUUAGGUGU